GGGCCUAUAGCUCAGUUGGUUAGAGCAGGUGACUCAUAAUCACUCGGUCGGGGGUUCAAGUCCCUCUGGGCCCA
rnacentral:tRNA from 1 species